CUAGAAGCACUAAUUGCUCCGAUACCAGAUUUGUAAGGAUAUACCCAUUUGUUUUCGUGCUCGUAUGAGAAAUAACCAAUCAAUCACGCACAAAAGCACUAAAAACACAAACCAUUGUUCACCCAGUUCCGUGAAAAAGCCUAAUCUAGGGAGCUAAUAGACUAACAUGUUCACUAUGUGCAAAAUAACCUUCCAAGAGACAAAGAGAUUACACUGAGACCAAAAUUAGACACUAGAUCUUAUCCUUGAACCAAAAGGAUCUUACAAAUCACACCUUAAUCACCAAUAAACCAAGAACCCUACUGCCAAACCAAAAUAUACACAUCACAAGCCUUACAAUCGGCUAAAAUUAAUAUAGCAAGAUGUAUUUCACAGGGUUCUUUCAGAUCGAUUAAGAUCUAAUGUUAAAUCAUAAGAAACAGAAACCAAAAAUAGAAGAAGAAUCAAGGUCUCUAGAAGAACCCCAAAACUUGGAAAACCAAGACUGCAUCCCAUCCUUUGAAAUGACCCCUCAAAUGCCAAACCAAUUGUAUCAUAUUAGUUCUCAACCAGUGAUCAAAAAAUGGACGACCAGGAUAAUGUUUGAAGAAGCACAACUCGAGUGAAGCACCAACAGCCAAUUGGGGGUUGCCACUUGGGCCUUCCACAUCCAAAUGAUGUUUUUGCCCUUACUAAAGUAUUGAUUUGAGAAACACGUUUUUUACAAUCUUCACCUUGGUUCUCAAAUUAUCUACUGUCUCUAGUAUGCUAGAUUGCACAUAAAACGGACUUGGCCCUAUAUCAUUGCCCAAAGUACUUGCAAGAGAAAUCAACCUGUAUCAAUAUGAAGAAUAAAUUAACAUGAUCAAAACUUAUUAACAGGUAAAAUUAAUGUGCCCAUCAAAUGGGUAUUCAUCAGUGUGAAUUUUCUUAAGAUUCACUUCACAAGUAGAUAUAUUUUCUCCUAUGAAGUGAUA
rnacentral:lncRNA from 1 species